AGCAGCCACCUUUUAAAAAGCGUCAAAGCUUAACCUAAUCCCUCUAAAAUACCAUCAACCUUAAUGAACCCCUAAUUUAUAAUGAAUGACUCCAUAUAAAUAUGGAAGACACCAUGCUGGGAUAAGUAACAAGAAUUAAUAAUUCUCCAAAAUGCAAACAUACACCAACAUGGAUAAACCAUUGGUAAUUACCGAAUCUGAACUUACUGCAGCAACACUCACAAGAAAACCAUGCAGUAUUUGCUCGUUAACCUAACACUAGUGCAUUUCAGGAAAGAUUUAAAAAAAGAGAAGGAAUUCGGCAAAUGAAAGCCCCGCCUGUUUACCAAAAACAUCGCCUCUUGAUUUAUGAUAAGAGGUCCAGCCUGCCCAGUGAAUUUUUAACGGCCGCGGUAUCCUAACCGCGCGAAGGUAGCAUAAUCACUUGUUCUUUAAAUGGGGACUCGUAUCAACGGCAUCACGAGGGUUUUACUGUCUCCUCUUUUUGAUCAGUGAAAUUGAUCUUCCCGUGAAGAAGCGGGAAUACUCAUAUAAGACGAGAAGACCCCAUGGAGCUUAAAACCAAAUAGUAACUUAACCACAUAUCUCCUUAUAACUUUAAGCCUGUACUAUGAGGUUUUUGGUUGGGGUGACCGCGGAGUAAAACAUAUCCUCCACGACGGAAAGACUACAAUCUUUAUUUAAGAACCACAAUUCUAAAAAUUAGCAUACUAACGUUUACUGACCCGAUAAUCGAUCAACGGAACAAGUUACCCUGGGGAUAACAGCGCAAUCUACUUCAAGAGCCCAUAUCGACAAGUAGGCUUACGACCUCGAUGUUGGAUCAGGGUAUCCCAGUGGUGCAGCCAUUACUGAAGGUUCGUUUGUUCAACGAUUAAAACCCUACGUGAUCU
rnacentral:rRNA from 1 species